rnacentral:rRNA from 1 species
AACGAACGCUGGCGGCAGGCUUAACACAUGCAAGUCGAACGCGCCCUUCGGGGCGAGUGGCAGACGGGUGAGUAACGCGUGGGAACCUACCUUUUGGUACGGAAUAACUCAGGGAAACUUGAGCUAAUACCGUAUAAGCCCUGACUUUUAAUCGGGUUUGGGGAAAGAUUUAUCGCCAAAGGAUGGGCCCGCGUCGGAUUAGCUAGUUGGUGGGGUAAUGGCCUACCAAGGCGACGAUCCGUAGCUGGUCUGAGAGGAUGAUCAGCCACACUGGGACUGAGACACGGCGCAGACUCCUACGGGAGGCAGCAGUGGGGAAUAUUGGACAGUGGGGGCAACCCUGAUCUAGCCAUGCCGCGUGAGUGAUGAAGGCCUUAGGGUUGUAAAGCUCUUUCGCCGGUGAAGAUAAUGACGGUAACCGGAGAAGAAGCCCCGGCUAACUUCGUGCCAGCCGCCGCGGUAACAC